rnacentral:misc_RNA from 1 species
GGGCAAUUUUCGGAAAUGUAGACCGUAAAGGUGCAUGAGUGGUGUUUGGUUUGUUACGGGUGGUUGGCUCUUUGCUUGCGCAACAACUUCCACCUGGCUUACCUUUUCAUUUGUUGGUUAAGGUUUAUAGCCUUAUUUAAUUGCGGGUUUCCUGUGUUGUCUACCAAAGUGACGGUAUUGUGGUUGGCCGAUCUAUGUUACUUUUUUUCUCUUUGCCUUAAACGUGGCAUGAGAUGAGAACCUGGUUGCUUGCUCUCUGAACCACAUCGUAUAUGUGUACAUUGAUGUUGUGGCUCAUUGAGCAUUGCUUGGUAUCAUGGAUAUAGAACCUAUGUGGGCAUUGGGUCUAUAAUGAUCCUUGUUUUGCUCUAAUUGAGUUGUUAUGCUUCUAAAAAUGACUACUUGCUAUGUAUGGGCUUGAACCGACAUGCGAGUUUGUCAAUGAGGAAUGCUACCUGG